UCUGGAGCACGCUGAGUCGUCACAUGCCGCAAACUGAGAGUCCCUGCGAGCCUGCAUGUAUACGAGCUAUACUGCUCCGCUCUCACAGCUUCAAACGCAGUUCAGGGGAAAUUGCGUUACUUUAAAGAACGCUUUGGAGAAAUUCUAACUAAAGAAACGCUUGUUUACUUCAUUUUCACAAAUACCCACGCCCUUCACAUUCGAAUAAAACAUCUGCGCUAUUCUUCACCCGUUUAUUUAGGUAUACGGGCGUUUUAUAUUACAGGCCGCUUUAUAAGAAAAGCCGUUCGGCUGAACAGUUUGCUCUGGCAAGGGCCUCUUUCGUGUUCCCCCAAUUUCGCACUCGUGAUUUCAAGGACCAAGGAAAGUAAGAAAUUUUCCUCCACGAAGCGUGAAGACUAGUGCCGAGUUCGCCAAUAGAAACGUGGACCAACGUCGGGGCACGCACGGCCGACACACCGCAAUGCGGGGCACGCCUCGCCGAAGAUGCCCGCUGUCCGUGGUCGCCUCCGCUCGGCUCGCAGUGGUGACCGGCAGCCUGCUGGCGAUUUCCACGGUCACGUGUUGCACGACCAAAGAGUGCGAAAACGAGUGCUUCGGGCGCGGCGCCAAGCAGGCCUGGUGCAACGGGAUGUUCUGCAUCUGCGACAUCGACUUCCGUUUUCCCGAGAUGAAAAGCCCGCCUCCCUUCAUUAGCCCUGUCGAUGUGGUCAGAGCAGGGGACGCUUACAGCAAUAAACCGACGGCGAUCGACUGGAUCGUGAAAGAAUAGUGCUUGCAAGAAAGGGGUGGGACAUUUGCCGCCGACGCCGUAACCCCCUCGCUCAAUGCGCACACAUGGGGCUGUGUUUUGCAAUGGUUCUUUUCCUUUUUCCAGUCUUCUUCGCCUUCGUGGUUAGCACUCUUGAAGCCAGGUCUUCGAUAUCGCCAUUAUCGGCUACUCGCUGCGAUGGGCGAUAAAAAAAUAAAUAGCAUCGAAGGAAACGAAUCCUUCCGCACUUAA